GUCAAAAACAUAAACACACAAGAUGGCGGAAGAAGAAGAAAAACGUGUCUAAAAAUACCAUCCUUUAUCCGCUUCACCAAAUCUGUCGUAUUCAGUCGUACCAAGCUGUUGUGCUGCAAAGCCUUUGUGAGAUGAUGCAGCACCAUCAAGAUCAAGUCAAUCAAUACGAUGCUGAUGACAGGAAUCAUUCAUCACAGAUAAGGUGUAUAAUAAGAGUGACGUUGCUAUGCCAACAGAUGGUCUAGCUCAGUACAUGGACAAGGAUGAUUGUGCUUUGCAAAACCUAAAUCUUAGCAAUUGCUGUUUGGGAAACCGAGACAUGGAACCUCUGACAGACAGGCAUUGUUUUAAAGAUGUUCUCCAAACACUGGACCUUAGCUGUAAUUAUAUUGAGAACGAUGCUACUGAUCUUCUUAGCAGGUGUGUUAACAUUGAAGUGGAUUCCCAAUUUAGCACUUAAGUGGCUUUCCUUUCUCCUGGUAUGUCAUCUAAUUAGAGUGCUGAACAUUAAAAGGGCUUUCUAGUUCUAUAGCUACAGGCUGGUAAGCCAUAGCCAGACACUUGUCAAUCUCAGCGUCAGUGGCAACCCUGGCAUUGAUAGUGGUUUUCUCCAGUUAUUCCUGGAUGCCCAUAGGACAAGCUCAUCUGCAAUACAUCAAUCUAUGAGCCUAAAACAUUAAUUCACCAAUAUCAAACGAUAUUUUAGGGCUAUUGUGAAACCAUUCUACAGACAAUUUAAUGGAGUUAAACUUCUCAUUCUGCCCUUUAAAUCAAACUGACAAAUUGUGCAUUGCCAAGACAUGGAAAAAGGGUGCUGGAGGCGCCGAUGAAAGGGAGGCAAUGGUAUAAGACUGUUUGUGCAUCUUCAGGGCUGUAGCCACGAAUUUCUGAUUGGUCCGGUUUUUGAGGGUUUUAAGUUUUUCUUAUACUUUUUUAUUAUUUUUAUUAUUUUUAUUAUAUUUUUUUCCCGAAAGUUGGUCCGGUUGAAACCGGACCAACGUACCGUGCCGGUGGCUACGGCCCAGAUCUUGGGACUGCACAGCAAUAGGACAUUGAAUUAAAAGGCUGCAUGUUAAGUUUUAUGUUCAACAGUUACAUAGUGAUGCUGAAGGGGACAGGGACUGGAAAGGAGUUAAACAAAGGAAAGUUUUUGAAUAUUAAUUAGGGAGGGUAAUACAUGUAUCAAGUGUUCCAGCAUGGUUCCAUCAUCACAGGUUGUAAACAUUGCUAUAUUUUAAUUGUAUUUUUCUUAUCAAGCACAAUUUUCAUAAAGUAUUCAAGAGCAAGUAGUGUAAAGCUAAUUCCAAAUCAAGUCUACCAAAAUAUAGGAAUUUUUACAACCUAUGGUCCCACUUGUUGACCCUUUGAGCAUGUGCUUAGAGCAGUAGCACAGAACUCUUGAUGCGUAUAUAGCAAAAACAGUCUCCUCCGAGUCUUCCUCCCCUUCCUCCUUGAUUCCCACCCAAAGGCACCCCUUGGCAACCUAACAACAAUGUUAAAGAACAAAUCCUUGGAAGGCUUUUAUAGUUAAUAAUUGUUGAAAUAAUCCAUGGUUUACAUAGAAACUUGCUUGACUAUGAGGUUGUUCCUUAAUAAUAAUGAUGACGAUGAUAAUCAUAAUAAUUAUUAAUGAUAAAAAUUAACUUUGUUUAUAGAGUAUGACGCUUGACUGUAAUUCAACUGAUAAACAUGUGGUCAACUUUUAAUGUCUCUAGUUUAUAAGGGGUGGGACAGCCAUUCAUGUUGUCAUCCAAACCUUGUGAAAGUGUACCCAUUAGCAGAUGUAUCAAGAAUAAUGAUAAUAAUGAUUAGAAAUUAUAAAUAAGUUGGAAAGAUUAUUGUUAUCAAUGACAAAAGCUAUGAUGAUGAUAACUUUGAUAGAUAUAGAAAGCCAAAGUGGCAUGGGACGCAGAGUGGUUUAGCAUUCACCUCUCACCACAGUGGUCUGUGAUCAAGCACCGGCUCAGACUGGAUCAUACGUGAGUUGAGUUUGUUUGAUGUGUUGUCCUCUUCUGUGCUGCAAUAGUUUUUCGAUUUGUAUUAUUACACAGCUUAUCUUUGCAUGAUUUUACACAAGCAUAACCUUGCACUCGGUGUCUAAGGGUCCAUUCUUCCCAUUCAAGCACAAGAUUUAAGGUUUUGCUCUGUGUUUCACUCCGUUCAUUCCCAAGUCCAUCUCAUUCCAGAGGAAUUAUACAGGUAAACAAAGGCGAAGGAUUAAUAAAGUGUUGCAGUGUGUUCUUGGUUGAUUUGUUAAUAUGUUUAGUACAUUGUCUUAACUACAAGCUCAUUAUUUAAUAUUAUUGCCCUAACAUUCAACUUGGAUAAUGUUCUAUUAUUUCAGCAUAUUGAGCAUAUUUGAAUGAAGAUACAGGUAAAUCACCCAGUAGCUAACUGUGGUGAGCUGUACAUAUUUAUAGAGAUUUUUAAUUAUGUUUCUGCAAAGUGUUUUGAGACAGUAUAGUAGACUUUGGGGGAGAAGGUAUGGAUGGAUGGAUGGAUGGAUAGUUGGAUGCAUGCAUGCAUGGAGGGAUGGAGGGAGUGAGGGAUCGAUGGAUGGGUGGAUGAAUAAACUGAUGAAGUGGUUGGGAGGAUGGUUAAAUGGAUAAUAGAUUAAUGGAUAAAUAAGGUAGAAAAUAUUAUUUUUUCUUCUUUGUGUUUUCAAUGACAGAGACAUGAGUGAAUAACUUAAGAGAUGACUGCAAUGAGCUGUGUUAUGAAGUCAUCGGUUCAAUGUGGCAACAGAACAACAAGUCUGGCAAAGACACCACUACUGCAGAGUCAAAAGAACGGUUUGAUUAGUAUGGAUAUUGGGAAGAAACCCACUUGAAGAACAGAAAGAAAGAAACAACCAUUUACGCUACCAUAUGGUAUUAUGUAUAAAUGCCUAUGCUGCCACUAAAAGGUCGACAGCAAGAUAAAUGACAGAA